rnacentral:rRNA from 1 species
CGAACGGGUGAGUAACACGUGGGCAAUCUGCCCUUCACUCUGGGACAAGCCCUGGAAACGGGGUCUAAUACCGGAUAUCACUCCUGCAGGCAUCUGUGGGGGUUGAAAGCUCCGGCGGUGAAGGAUGAGCCCGCGGCCUAUCAGCUUGUUGGUGAGGUAACGGCUCACCAAGGCGACGACGGGUAGCCGGCCUGAGAGGGCGACCGGCCACACUGGGACUGAGACACGGCCCAGACUCCUACGGGAGGCAGCAGUGGGGAAUAUUGCACAAUGGGCGAAAGCCUGAUGCAGCGACGCCGCGUGAGGGAUGACGGCCUUCGGGUUGUAAACCUCUUUCAGCAGGGAAGAAGCGAGAGUGACGGUACCUGCAGAAGAAGCGCCGGCUAACUACGUGCCAGCAGCCGCGGUAAUACGUAGGGCGCAAGCGUUGUCCGGAAUUAUUGGGCGUAAAGAGCUCGUAGGCGGCUUGUCACGUCGGGUGUGAAAGCCCGGGGCUUAACCCCGGGUCUGCAUUCGAUACGGGCUAGCUAGAGUGUGGUAGGGGAGAUCGGAAUUCCUGGUGUAGCGGUGAAAUGCGCAGAUAUCAGGAGGAACACCGGUGGCGAAGGCGGAUCUCUGGGCCAUUACUGACGCUGAGGAGCGAAAGCGUGGGGAGCGAACAGGAUUAGAUACCCUGGUAGUCCACGCCGUAAACGGUGGGAACUAGGUGUUGGCGACAUUCCACGUCGUCGGUGCCGCAGCUAACGCAUUAAGUUCCCCGCCUGGGGAGUACGGCCGCAAGGCUAAAACUCAAAGGAA